rnacentral:misc_RNA from 1 species
GAUGAAGAACGUAGCGAAAUGCGACAAGUAAUGUGAAUUGCAGAAUUCCGUGAAUCAUCGAAUCUUUGAACGCACAUUGCGCCCCCUGGUAUUCCGGGGGGCAUGCCUGUCCGAGCGUCAUUGCUGCCCUCAAGCACGGCUUGUGUGUUGGGCCCCGUCCUCCGAUCCCGGGGGACGGGCCCGAAAGGCAGCGGCGGCACCGCGUCCGGUCCUCGAGCGUAUGGGGCUUUGUCACCCGCUCUGUAGGCCCGGCCGGCGCUUGCCGAUCAACCCAAAUUUUUAUCCAGGUUGACCUCGGAUCAGGUAGGGAUACCCGCUGAACUUAAGCAUAUCAAUAAGCGGAGGA